AGUGAACGCUGGCGGUAGGCCUAACACAUGCAAGUCGAACGGCAGCACAGAGGAGCUUGCUCCUUGGGUGGCGAGUGGCGGACGGGUGAGGAAUACAUCGGAAUCUACUCUGUCGUGGGGGUGAACGUAGGGAAACUUACGCUAAUACCGCAUACGACCUACGGGUGAAAGCAGGGGACCUUCGGGCCUUGCGCGAUUGAAUGAGCCGAUGUCGGAUUAGCUAGUUGGCGGGGUAGAGGCCCACCAAGGCGACGAUCCGUAGCUGGUCUGAGGGGAUGAUCAGCCACACUGGAACUGAGACACGGUCCAGACUCCGACGGGAGGCAGCAGUGGGGAAUAUUGGACAAUGGGCGCAAGCCUGAUCCAGCCAUACCGCGUGGGUGAAGAAGGCCUUCGGGUUGUAAAGCCCUUUUGUUGGGAAAGAAAUCCAGCUGGCUAAUACCCGGUUGGGAUGACGGUACCCAAAGAAUAAGCACCGGCUAACUUCGUGCCAGCCGCCGCGGUAA
rnacentral:rRNA from 1 species